rnacentral:rRNA from 1 species
CCUACGGGUAGCAGCAGUGGGGAAUAUUGGGCAGUGGGCGCAAGCCUGACCCAGCAAUGCCGCGUGAAGGAAGCAGGCUUUCGGGUUGUAAACUUCUUUGACAGGGGAAGAGCAGAAGACGGUACCCUGAAAACAAGCCACGGCUAACUACGUGCCAGCAGCCGCGGUAAUACGUAGGUGGCAAGCGUGGUCCGGAUUUACUGGGUGUAAGGGGCGUGUAGCCGGGAAGGCAAGUCAGAUGUGAAAUCUGGAGGCUCAACCUCCAAAUUGCAUUUGAAACUGUGUUUCUUGAGUACUGGAGAGGCAGACGGAAUUCCUUGUGGAGCUGUGAAAUGCGUAGAUAUAAGGAGGAACACCAGUGGCGAAGGCGGUCUGCUGGACAGCAACUGACGGUGAGGCGCGAAAGCGUGGGGAGCAAACAGGAUUAGAUACCCUAGUAGUC